GUUGCAAAUAGAAUGUCGGUUCGUACACUUUAUUGAGGACAAGGUAAAUUAAUGAUACCAGUUUUAUCGGUAUUUCUAUCAAAAUUCUAUCAAUAUUCUGUCUCUUUAGCAUUUUUUGAAAUUUUUUUUUCGAAAAAUUGGGUAUUGGAGAAGAAGAAUACAUAGGGUAUAAAUAAAAAAAGCUGCACACGCACACUCUCCAUUCUACUGCAUGUGAUGAGAGUGUGUGUGAGAGUUGAGAGUGAGAUCAUUGCUCCUUUUUUUUCUUUUUCUUCCUCACUAGUAGAGAAUAGAAAGCAAAAUUGUGGGAGAUUUAUGCCGUGCUUGAUUACAUGUAUUACCAAAUCUAGAAAGAAUAAUUAUUAUGUUGGUGGAACAACUACCAGAAAUCAACAAAAUAAUGGUGCUAAGGAAAGAGAAGAUUUUGAUCGGUAGAUUUUUCUUUUUUGGAUGCUGUACUAUAUACAACGGUAGCACCUACUGUACAUAGUUUGAAAAUUUAUAUUAAAAAAAAAUAAAAUUUACCCAUAUUUUGUUAAUGGCUAAUUGCGGAUGAUUGGAUUCAUCUGGGGGAGGUGAAUUUGUCAUCCAGCUAAAAAGAUGCGUUCGGAGUAAUUUAUAUUAAGAUCAAACUUGAUCCAUACAUAUCUUAUAUAAUCAUAUAAUUUCAUCACGUGACUGUAUCGCUCUCAAUAUAUGAUGAAAAUGAUAUUACUUAAUAAAAUCAUUUUAAUUUCUUUACCUAAAGUGUUGGUCUGUUUAAUUAGAGUUGAAGAACUUUAACAGAAAGAAUUUAGAGAGUAUCCUAUGUGUAAUCCUUUUCGAAUUGUAAAAGUUUGAUGAUGAAGUAUGGUGGAAAUCAUUUGAUUUUGGUAAGAUCUUAGAGAAGAAGAACCUAUUAGGUUGAUGAUACCCAUCCUUUUGUCCGAGCUAUAACGUGUCGAGUUUUGGAAGGCAAAUGUUGACAACUGUGGGGGGAAAUAUAUGAACAAGAGCUGGAUGACAAUAAAUUAAGGCAACGGUUCCUAAGAAAACCAACUCUAGUUUCUUUCUAUCUUCAUUUUCUUCUUUUCUUUUCCCCUCACAUAAUUCAAUGUCCACAUAAAAUAUAAGAAAAAAAAACCAUCAAGAAAUUAUCAUAAAUGAAGUAAUGAAUAAUCUAAUUAACAUAAGAUAAUUAAACAGGAUUAGUAGAAGCUCAUGAAAGCAAUUAAAAUGAGGAUAGCUGCAGCAUAGAAUAACUCUCAAAAAGGAAAUUAAAAGGGCAUGCAAAUAAAUAAGACAAGUGAGAUUACCAAUUAGGUAAAGCGCAAAAAGUGAGGUGAUUGUGUUGGUCAUGAAAAUGGCUUAAGGAGGAAGCAAAGGAAUCACUUUCAAGAGACCAAUUACAUGAUUGGGCGGCCAAAAAAUACCCAUGACGAUCACACAAAGCUUGAUGAAAGAAGCAUCCAUCUUUCAAAACUUAUUGCAUGUACCAAAAAAAAAAAAAACUGAAUUAAAAAUAACAAUUAAUAUAUUAUAAUAAUAAUAAAUACCCAAAUUAAAGUUGGAAUAAUUGUAUGUGGAAACAAGUCACGAAGUUGUCAUGUCGAGAUCUUGGGGCCCUCUUACUCUUAAUUUUACAUGUAUAAUAAAAAUAUUUAAGAACCCUAGCUAAUUUGUCUGGGUGAGAGUGGAAAAGUUAUGUGGUUUAUACGUAUAAGAGGAAGAGGCCAAUACGUCGAUAAUACAUCACUCAUUAACUAUUUAUAUACCAAAAAGGUAUUGAUGUUGAUGAUUUCAAAAAGCAAUUAAAACCACAUAAAAUAAAAUUAAACAGAAAAUGUGAAGAGUGAGUAAACGUGAGAAAUAAUUUUUUGGAUUGAGAAAGAGAGGGAGCCAUAUAAUCAAACAAAGAUAAUGCUUUGCCACAAACCGAGGAAGGGCAAUGAGAGACUAAUUGGAUGCGUCUUGUCUGCUAUAAAGCCAAAACCACAGGCAAAGCAACACCACUCAAUACCUACAAAUGCUUAUCUACUUUCUAGGCUCUUGUUUCUUAAAAGUACUCAUGCAAAUUGCAAUACGGAUCGACUAUUAUUAACUUAGAUUUAUCAAGUGCCCACGCUAAUUAACUGAAUUUGAUGAAUUAUAUGUAACUAAUCUGAAGAGAAAUAAUAUACUAUAUUUGAUUGAUUGAAAGUAAUCAACUUGGAUUCUUUUUCUUAGUUAAAUAAGGUAAUUAAUAUAAAGGAGUCACUCUAUUACGAUAAUCAAUAAUAUCUAAAU
rnacentral:lncRNA from 1 species